rnacentral:rRNA from 1 species
AUUGAACGCUGGCGGCAUGCCUUACACAUGCAAGUCGAACGGUAACAGGUUAAGCUGACGAGUGGCGAACGGGUGAGUAAUACAUCGGAACGUGCCCAGUAGUGGGGGAUAGCCCGGCGAAAGCCGGAUUAAUACCGCAUACGACCUAAGGGUGUAAGGGGGGGAUCGCAAGACCUCUCGCUAUUGGAGCGGCCGAUGUCAGAUUAGGCAGUUGGUGGGGUAAAGGCCCACCAAGCCGACGAUCUGUAGCUGGUCUGAGAGGACGACCAGCCACACUGGGACUGAGACACGGCCCAGACUCCUACGGGAGCCAGCAGUGGGGAAUUUUGGACAAUGGGCGCAAGCCUGAUCCAGCCAUGCCGCGUGCGGGAAGAAGGCCUUCGGGUUGUAAACCGCUUUUGUCAGGGAAGAAAUCCUUUGGGUUAAUACCUCGGGGGGAUGACGGUACCUGAAGAAUAAGCACCGGCUAACUACGUGCCAGCCGCCGCGGUAA